rnacentral:rRNA from 1 species
GUCUGAUGGAGCACGCCGCGUGAGUGAAGAAGGUUUUCGGAUCGUAAAACUCUGUUGUUGGAGAAGAAUGUAUUUGAUAGUAACUGAUCAGGUAGUGACGGUAUCCAACCAGAAAGCCACGGCUAACUACGUGCCAGCAGCCGCGGUAAUACGUAGGUGGCAAGCGUUGUCCGGAUUUAUUGGGCGUAAAGCGAGCGCAGGCGGUUUUUUAAGUCUGAUGUGAAAGCCUUCGGCUCAACCGAAGAAGUGCAUCGGAAACUGGGAAACUUGAGUGCAGAAGAGGACAGUGGAACUCCAUGUGUAGCGGUGAAAUGCGUAGAUAUAUGGAAGAACACCAGUGGCGAAGGCGGCUGUCUGGUCUGUAACUGACGCUGAGGCUCGAAAGCAUGGGUAGCAAACAGGAUUAGAUACCCUGGUAGUCCAUGCCGUAAACGAUGAGUGCUAGGUGUUGGAGGGUUUCCGCCCUUCAGUGCCGCAGCUAACGCAUUAAGCACUCCGCCUGGGGAGUACGACCGCAAGGUUGAAACUCAAAGGAAUUGACGGGGGCCCGCACAAGCGGUGGAGCAUGUGGUUUAAUUCGAAGCAACGCGAAGAACCUUACCAGGUCUUGACAUCCUUUGACCACUCUAGAGAUAGAGCUUUCCCUUCGGGGACAAAGUGACAGGUGGUGCAUGGUUGUCGUCAGCUCGUGUCGUGAGAUGUUGGGUUAAGUCCCGCAACGAGCGCAACCCUUAUUACUAGUUGCCAGCAUUCAGUUGGGCACUCUAGUGAGACUGCCGGUGACAAACCGGAGGAAGGUGGGGACGACGUCAAAUCAUCAUGCCCCUUAUGACCUGGGCUACACACGUGCUACAAUGGAU